GGGUGGGGCCUGUAGCUCAGAGGAUUAGAGCACAUGUCUACGAACCACAGUGUCGGGGGUUCGAAUCCCUCCUCGCACA
rnacentral:tRNA from 1 species